GUAACUGGUAGAGAACGUGAAGGAUAACGUUGCUUUAGCAACGGCCCGAAGGGCGAGGCGAAGCCGAGUCAUCCUGCACGACCCACCA
rnacentral:sRNA from 2 species